UAGAUCUCAAAUCAGG
rnacentral:rRNA from 2 species